GUUAGCUCAGAACGGUAGAGCGUUCGACUCGUAAUCGAAAUGUCGCGGGUUCAAGUCCCGUACAAGU
rnacentral:tRNA from 1 species